rnacentral:rRNA from 1 species
UACGUAGGGUGCGAGCGUUAUUCGGAAUUACUGGGCGUAAAGCGUGCGCAGGCGGUUUUGUAAGUCAGAUGUGAAAUCCCCGGGCUUAACCUGGGAAUGGCAUUUGAGACUGCAAGGCUCGAGUGCGGGAGAGGAGACUGGAAUUCCUGGUGUAGCAGUGAAAUGCGUAGAUAUCAGGAGGAACACCGAUGGCGAAGGCAGGUCUCUGGGCUGACACUGACGCUCAUGCACGAAAGCGUGGGGAGCAAACAGG